GGUUUGAUCAUGGCCAGAUUGAACGCUGGCGGGAUGCUUUACACAUGCAAGUCAACGCAGCACGGACUUCGGUCUGGUAUGAGUGGCGAACGGUGAGUAAUGUAUCGGAACGUGUCACUGGUAAUGGGGAUAACUGCGCGAAAGCGUAGCUAAUACCGCAUACGCCCUUCGGGGGAAAGCGGGGACCUUCGGGCCUCGCAAUUAUUAGAGCGGUCACAUAUCGGAUUAGCUGUUGGAACGGGGUAACGGCCUUCACCAAGGCGAUCGAUCCGUGUAGCUGGUUUGAGAGGACGACCAGCCACACCUGACCGAGACACGGCCCAGACUCCUACGGGAGGCAGCAGUAAAACGGACAAUGGGGAAACCCUGAUCCAGCCAUCCCGCGUGUGCGAUGGUAGCCCCCGGUUGUAAAGCACCUCGGCAGGAAAGAAACGGCACGGGAUAAUUGCGCAAUCAUUAACCGCAGAAUAAGCACCGGCUAACUACUACGCCAGCAGCCGCGGUAAUACGUAGGGUGCAAGCGUUAAUCGGAAUUACUGUAUGCAAAAGGUGCAGGCGGUUCGGAAAGAAAGAUGUGAAAUCCCAGAGCUUAACUUUGGAACUGCAUUUUUAACUACCGAGCUAGAAAGUGUGUCAGAGGAGGUGAAUCAUAGCAGUGAAAUGCGUAGAUAUGCGGAGGAACACCGAUGGCGCAGCCUCCCGAGGUUGUUUGAUCAGCGGCUGAAAGGGAGCAAACAGAUGAUCCAGAGUCCACGCCCAAACGAUGCCGAUCAGCUGUUGGGGCUCACCCGUAGCGCAGCUAACGCGUGAAGUUGACCGCCUGGGGAGAGUACGGUCGCAAGAUUAAACUUCAAAGGAAUUGACGGGACCCGCACAAGCGGUGGAUGAUGUGGAUUAAUUCGAUGCAACGCGAAAACCUUACCUACCUGAUAUGGUCUGGAACUGAAGAGAUUUGGGAGUGCUCGCAAGAGAACCGGAACACAGGUGCUGUACGAAGUUUGUUACCGUCAGCCCGUAAGCCAGUGAGAUGCGUUGGGUUAAGUCCUGCACUGAGCGCAACCUUGUCAUUAGUUGCUACGAAAGGGCACUCUAUCGAGAUCCCGCCGGACAACCUGGAGGAAGGUGGGAUGACGUCAUCUACGUAUCUUGGCGGUAGUGAUUCACACGUCAUACAAUGGCUCGGACAGAGGGUCGCCAAUCCGGCGAGGGGGAGCUAAUCCCAGAAACCCGAUCGUAGUCCGGAUCGCAGUCUGCAACUCGACUGCGCAGAAGUCGGAAUCGCUAGUAAUCGCGGAUCAGCAUGUCGCGGUGAAUACGUUCCCGGUCUGGUACACACCGUCACACCAUGGGAGUGGGUUUUACCAGAAGUAGUUAGCCUACCCGUAAGGAGGGCGAUUACCACGGUGGAUUCAUGACUGGGGUGAAGUCGUAACAAGGUAG
rnacentral:rRNA from 1 species